rnacentral:misc_RNA from 1 species
GACGUUAUAAGACAAGUAUCGGUUUAAGUACAAUGUUUUCGGCUUCGCUUUAGUUAGUGACAUAAAAAAAUGAUUUUGAUAAAAUGUGCGGUUUUUGCGAUACUGCACUUUGUAAGUGCUCAAAAUGAAAUAUUAACGGGCGACAACGUCAACUACCAAUUCUUCCCCCUGAAAAAUCGCAAAUAUUCAGCGGUGUCAUUUAAAGUGGACGCUCGCAACGAUGCCCACGUCGCUCUCAGCACUCAUCCACUGACCUUUCCUAUGUAUGAGUUCAUCAUUGGAGGCUGGGGAAACACAAAAAGCGCGAUCCAAAAACAGACCUGCCCGCCACUUCAAAGAGACGAAGCAGAGACGCUUGGGAUCUUAAACGGGCAAGAAUAUCGAGGCUUUUGGAUACGCUGGGACACUGGAAAUAUUUUGGUCGGACGCAGGGGAGAGGACAAACCUUUUAUAUCUUAUCAAGAUCCAAAGCCUUUUCGAGCGAAGUUUGCUGGUGUGAGAACUAGUUAUGGCGCAGAUGGGAACUGGAAACUAGCAAAUGGCUCGCGCCACGACGGUCGAAAUGAACAAAGUAUUGAUGUGACCACGCUAAACGACGCUACAGCUCAAUACUUCCCGGUGUCUGGUAGCGCAGUGCAUUUCAAAGUACGCGCUCCAAAUGACGCCAUGAUUGAGCUGACCAGUCAAGCUCGCCAAACUGAUCCCAUGUAUGAGAUCAUUAUUGGAGGUUGGAGUAAUAAAAAAAGUGUGAUCAGAAAACACGUCUGUAACAUACUUCAGAAAGAUGAGGCCCAAACCCCCCAGAUAUUGAACAACAAAGAGUUCCGCGAGUUCUGGCUUCAGUGGGAUAAUGGCAAUGUCUUGGUUGGUCGCGAAGGCGAAGCCGCACCUUUCCUGGUGUGGCAAGAUCCUGAUCCCAUGACCGUUGCUUAUGUAGGCGUGCGGACAACAUUGGGCUCUACGGGCAAUUGGGUGUUAGCAAGUGGUUCUAAUAAGGGCGGCGAUAGCAUUGAUGUAGCAACACCAAACGACGAGAAGUGGCAAUUUUUCCCCAUAAUGGGUGAUUCGCUGACGAUCAAAGUCCGUGCAAGCAACGAUGCUAAUAUCGGUUUGUCUUCGCACCCGAGGGAAACUGAUCCGUUGUACGAGGUCAUCCUCGGAGGUUGGAGUAACACUAAAAGCGUGAUCAGAAAACAUUGUUGCAUGAAUCCCGAUAAAGCUGUAAGUCAGACGAACGGGAUACUGAACAGCGGAGAGUCCAGAGGGUUCUGGUUGAAUUGGGACAAAGGCAACUUCAUGGCAGGCCGGGAAGGCGAGACGAAUCCCUUCAUAUUGUGGCAAGACCCUGACCCGGCUCCUGUGGCGUUCAUAGGCGUACACACUGGAUUUGGUUCUACUGGAGUCUGGGAUAUUGAAAAUGUUUCUGCAAAGGACGUCAUAGUCUCAAAUAGUAAUGAAACCAUAUCGAAGCCAGCGGUGUGCGCAGCGACACUAACACGCCUUCGUCACGGCGACGCAUGCGCAGGGCAGACUGUCUUUGAGGAAAACUUCGACUACCUGCGCCAUGACAUUUGGGAAGUGCAGCAUUACGUGCCGGUCGACCACCCUGAGCUGCCAUUCGUAUCGUAUCAGCGUUCUACUGUGUCCGUGACGAAUGGCUACCUUCGAAUUGCCCCGAGUCUCCAGCAAAAUCAGCCAGGUUUUACGCAUUCCAGCAUGUUUGAGGCCUUGAAUUUAUAUAAAGGUUGCACGUCGGGACAGUCCAGUUCAUGCCACUUAGAAGCCAGUGACGGGUCUUCAGUUAUCCCCCCCGUGAUUGGAGGCCGCAUUAGCAGUAGAUCAAGUUUUGGUUUCACUUAUGGCAUUAUCAGCAUUCGCGCUAAACUGCCUCAGGGAGACUGGCUUUACCCAGAAAUAUUAUUGGAAUCUUCCUCUAAGAAGUUUGUAUACGGUACAAAGAAUUCUGGAAUGUUGAAGAUAGCGUGCGCCCGGGGUAAUAAAGAACUGAUGAAAGGAUCCACUCAGUACGGGAAUAAGAUAAUUUGAUUUUCUCUGUGGACGGUAAAGAAUACGCUAGCGUCGAGUCCGAUAGCGAUGGUUUGCGUGCGCGUCUUCCGAAGACCUGCGCUGGACCUCACGAAGCAGACUUAGCGCCUUUCGAUAACCACUUCUUCAUAACUCUGGGG